CCUUCUUCCUCCGCCCAGCCGCCACAGUAAUUUGUCGUCAAGUUUGCCGCAGGAGGAUAUUUUAUUCUGGGUUAACCUGCUUUUAUACUUCGCAGGUUGUUUAUCGAUAUUUGUGUAAUUUUAUUUACUCCUAGAAUUUCCGCAUGUGUUAGCAGUAAUUAUUUGAAUUUGGUCUGUAAUAUUAUUAUCAUGUUGGACCUGUAAACUUAAUAUUUUAAGUCUGUUUUGAUGGAUUGGAUGAGGGAGCUGAGCUCCCAUUUAUUAUUA